GGCCUAACACAUGCAAGUCGAGCGGUAGAGAGAAGCUUGCUUCUCUUGAGAGAGGCGGACGGGUGAGUAAAGCCUAGGAAUCUGCCUGGUAGUGGGGGAUAACGUUCGGAAACGGACGCUAAUACCGCAUACGUCCUACGGGAGAAAGCAGGCUUUUUUCGGGCCUUGCGCUAUCAGAUGAGCCUUCGUCGGAUUAGCUAGUUGGUGAGGUAAUGGCUCACCAAGGCGACGAUCCGUAACUGGUCUGAGAGGAUGAUCAGUCACACUGGAACUGAGACACGGUCCAGACUCCUACGGGAGGCAGCAGUGGGGAAUAUUGGACAAUGGGCGAAAGCCUGAUCCGCCAUGCCGCGUGUGUUAAGAAGGUCUUCGGGUUGUAAAGCAACUUUAAGUUGGGAGGAAGGUCAUUAACCUAAUACGUUAGUGUUUUGACGUUACCGUCAGAAUAAGCACCG
rnacentral:rRNA from 1 species